UAUAACUUUUGACAACGGAUCUCUUGGUUCUCCCAUCGAUGAAGAACGCAGCGAAUUGCGAUAAGUAAUGUGAAUUGCAGAAUUCAGUGAAUCAUCGAAUCUUUGAACGCACCUUGCGCUCCCAAGUAUUCUUGGGAGCAUGCCUGUUUGAGUGUCAUAA
rnacentral:rRNA from 1 species